GACGAACGCUGGCGGCGGGCUUAACACAUGCAAGUCGAACGGAAAGGCCCUGCUUUUGUGGGGUUCUCGAGUGGCGAACGGGUGAGUAACACGUGAGUAACCUGCCCUUGACUUUGGGAUAACUUCAGGAAACUGGGGCUAAUACCGGAUAGGAGCUCCUGCUGCAUGGUGGGGGUUGGAAAGUUUCGGCGGUUGGGGAUGGACUCGCGGCUUAUCAGCUUGUUGGUUGGGUAGUGGCUUACCAAGGCUUGGACGGGUAGCCGGCCUGAGAGGGUGACCGGCCACAUUGGGACUGAGAUACGGACCAGACUCCUACGGGAGGCAGAAGUGGGGAAUAUUGCACAAUGGGCGGAAGCCUGAUGCAGCAACGCCGCGUGCGGGAUGACGGCCUUCGGGUUGUAAACCGCUUUCGCCUGUGACGAAGCGUGAGUGACGGUAAUGGGUAAAGAAGCACCGGCUAACUACGUG
rnacentral:rRNA from 1 species